rnacentral:rRNA from 1 species
UACGUAGGGGGCAAACGUUGUCCGGAUUUAUUGGGCGUAAAGAGCGUGUAGGCGGUCUGGUAGGUCCGUUGUGAAAACUCGAGGCUCAACCUCGAGACGCCGAUGGAAACCAUCAGACUAGAGUCCGGAAGAGGAGAGUGGAAUUCCUGGUGUAGCGGUGAAAUGCGCAGAUAUCAGGAAGAACACCCGUGGCUAAGGCGGCUCUCUAGUACGGUACUGACGCUGAGACGCGAAAGCGUGGGGAGCGAACAGG